UACGGGGGGGCAAGCGUUGUUCGGAAUUACUGGGCGUAAAGGGCUCGUAGGCGGCCAACUAAGUCGGAUGUGAAAUCCCCAGGCUUAACCUGGGAACUGCAUCCGAUACUGGAUGGCUUGAAUCCGGGAGAGGGAUGCAGAAUUCCAGGUGUAGCGGUGAAAUGCGUAGAUAUCUGGAGGAAUACCGGUGGCGAAGGCGGCAUCCUGGACCAUUACUGACGCUGAGGAGCGAAAGCGUGGGUAGCGAACAGG
rnacentral:rRNA from 1 species